rnacentral:rRNA from 1 species
GACGAACCGUGCGAACGUUGUUCGGAAUCACUGGGCUUAAAGGGCGCGUAGACGGGCUGUCGCGUCUGGGGUGAAAUCCUCCGGCUCAACCGGGGAAGGGCCUCGGGUACGGACGGCCUCGAGGGGGGUAGGGGCGUGCGGAACUGUGGGUGGAGCGGUGAAAUGCGUUGAUAUCCACAGGAACUCCGGUGGCGAAGGCGGCACGCUGGACCCCUUCUGACGCUGAGGCGCGAAAGCCAGGGGAGCAAACGGG